UGACACAGGGAGGUAGUGACAAGAAAUAACAAUACAGGGCUUUCGUCUUGUAAUUGGAAUGAUGGUGAUGUACAACCUCACCAGAGUACCAAUUGGAGGGCAAGUCUGGUGCCAGCAGCCGCGGUAAUUCCAGCUCCAAUAGCGUAUAUUAAACUUGUUGCAGUUAAAAAGCUCGUAGUUGUAUUUCAGCCUCGCGUUUUUUCCCUCGUUUUGGGUCUUUUCGCUGGCUUUUUUUUUACUUUGAGAAAAUUAGAGUGUUUCAAGCAGACUUUUGUCUUGAAUACUUCAGCAUGGAAUAAUAGAGUAGGACCUUGGUUCUAUUUUGUUGGUUUUGAGCCUUGGUAAUGGUUAAUAGGAACGGUUGGGGGCAUUCGUAUUUAACUGUCAGAGGUGAAAUUCUUAGAU
rnacentral:rRNA from 1 species